UUAAAAACUUGAACCCGAACCCGACUACCAAAUCCGAAACCCAAACUCGAUGGAUUUAAAAAUCCAUAUUCAACCCGAACCCAACCAAAAAUCUAAAACCUGAACCCGAACCCGAAAACCCAAACCCGAAUCCGAAACAAACCCAAAUCCGACCAAAACCCGAAACCCGAUUCUAAACCCGAAAAUCCAAACCCGAAAAUAAUAUUUACCAAAUUUCGAAACAUAUUAUACAAGAAACUAAAAUUUCAAAAUACAUAUUCAAAUACAAUAUUAAACAUUCAUGCUAUAUAAUAGCGAUAUCCAAAUAUGAAAUGUACAAACUCAAAUAAUUAAAAACAACAAUACAAUUUUCAUAUGUCUAAUAUAAAUGCACAAUUUCUAAAUAGAGCACAACAACCUACAAGAACUAAAAGACUAAACUUAAAAAAUAAAGAAAAAAAGACAUAUAUGAAGAAUCAAAAAAACCCACAUCAAAGAAGCAACUUUAAUUUUCAUUUUUUUAAAAAAAAAUCCUCACCUUUUUUUCUCUUAGGUUUGAGGUUGUGGUUCUUGGAGAAAGCAAUAAGCCAAAAUACCUUCUUGGAGAAGAAUGAUCAAGAGACUACAAAAGUCUACAACGGCUUCUGUAGUUCUCUUUCAAAGUUUUAACUAUUAGGGUUUGGAGAUGGAGAGGGUUUCGGAAAAAGGAAGGUUUUGAAGUAGUUCUCUUUUGAGGUUUUAACUAUUAAGGUUUGGAGAUGGAGAGGGCUUGGAAAAUGAGAAGUUUUUGAUUUUUGUAUAUUAGGGUUUGGGUUAUAAAAAUAUAUGUAUUUUGGUUUAGAUUAUAAAAGUGUAAGUAAUUUUUUGGCCUUUAGAUUUAGAUCUAAUGGUUUGAAUUUUUUUAUAUAUUAUAUCAUAUUAAAUUUGUUCGGGUUUGGGUCGGGUUUGGGUCCGGGUCAGGUUCAGGUUUGGGUUCGGGUUCAGGUUUUUU
rnacentral:lncRNA from 1 species